GUCCUUUUACGUCGGCGAGCUGAGAGUCUGCUCUUGUCUGUAGGUGAUUUCGCGGUGUGGACGCAUGGGCGAAAUAACGUGGCGCGGGGUUAAGUUGGAGGCUGCUGUUUUGUGGGACAGCCUCGGGGGCUUGAGGUUACCGUGUCGUUGAAGGCUUGCUCUGGGAAAUGCGCAUCUGCAGCGAGAGACUGCAGGAUUGGAGUGUAGGCCCAAGGAGGUUGCAACCGGGCGGCAUGGCUGGUCUCUGGGGUCUGGUUCCACAGCCCCAGCACUGGUGGGUUCUGACACAACACUGACGUGCGGAGGAAGGGUCCAGGAGUUAGGAGCUGUUCGGAAUGUAUUGGUGUUGCCCAAGAGUCGACUGAUUAAAAAAGCAAUCCUUUCACAGGAGGGAUGACGCCAUCUUUUUCCGGGUCUUCAGAGCGGUUGCAAGGAGAUGCCCAGAUGGAGAAAGGCCCGAAUCAUCCAAGAGAAUUAGUAACAAAAAAUAAUUUGUUUAAGACCUGACUCAUUGAAAAGCAGUGAAAGCACAGAGAUGCCAGCUGCUUGCAAAGUACCUAGCGCUCCUCGGAGGAUCGAGUGGCCAGAGACACAAGCCUUUGCUGGCUGAAUGAGAGAAUUGGAGGUGGUGAAAAGGCAGACAAGAAGAUGUGCAGUGUUUGACUAGCGUGUUUAGAGUUGAGGUCUUUGCACAGCUCUGGCUGUCCUCACUUCUCUAUCUUACCUCCUAAACAAGGACUGAUUACCUGCGGAGCCAUCUGCUAUACUAGUUUUUAUUGAUUAGAAUGUGGGAUCAUGCUUACAGAAAGUUGUGUGCAAUCAGUGGAUGGGAGUGUUUAGUCGUUGGUCCUGUUGGGUUUAAAAUGGAUGGAAUUAAAGCUGGGUGAAAAUUUUCAGUGGUUUCAUGAGAAUCUUUGCUGGGAUUAUGACACUGUCUAUAGUGAACAAAAUUCAGUGUAAACAGGACAGCAUAUGAUGUGGCCUGUAAGAUUUGUUAUAUGUCAUAUUUCCUUACCCAGUGGGGCUUAACUAAAUGCUACAAUAAAUGUUCAGUGGCAACAAC